GAUCUAAAUUUUGAAUUCCCGCUUAUCUCUGAUUCCCCAUACACCAAAUCUCUUCUACUGCUAUUCUCCAAAAAAAACCCAUGGCUACAAUUUCAUCUCCUGCUACCCAUCAAAUUUGUUCAUCUCCUACUACCCAUCAGAUCCGCCCAUGAUGACACCAGCGGCCACCUAUCUGAGUGAAGCCUGCAACCAUCGUUGUUUAUCAUCCCGUCUCGCCUUUUACUCCUCAUCUUCUUCACCCAUAUCCGUGCUAUCUUGUGUCUGAUCGCAGGUACGUCAGAGCGAGCUUCGCUUGUUUGGUGCUUCUAAUUUUAUGGUUGGAUAUUCUACGAGGGCUUAAUAUGGUGUGCAGGUAGUUUUGUUACCAACUCCUAGGAAAUAAGCAAUGCGAAUGCCUCUAGAUGAGUGAUUGUGAGAUGACGAGACUAGCUAUGGAGAUGGUGGGUUGCUCUUCUAACGGCCGCAGCAAAGGACUUGAGAAAAUGUGAUCUGGAAAUGGGAGGACAAGUCAGGGGAAAUGUUUA